rnacentral:rRNA from 1 species
UACGUAGGGGGCAAGCGUUGUCCGGAAUUAUUGGGCGUAAAGAGCUCGUAGGCGGUUUGUUGCGUCGGCUGUGAAAUCCCGAGGCUCAACCUCGGGUCUGCAGUCGAUACGAGCAAACUAGAGUGUUGCAGGGGAGACUGGAAUUCCUGGUGUAGCGGUGAAAUGCGCAGAUAUCAGGAGGAACACCGGUGGCGAAGGCGGGUCUCUGGGCAGCAACUGACGCUGAGGAGCGAAAGCGUGGGGAGCGAACAGG